rfam:Parvibaculum lavamentivorans DS-1, complete genome.
GCCCGAACUCGUGGUGAUUUGAGCCGACCGGCUUGCGGCCACGUUAAAUAAUUCGCUAAAAAGGUCGGGACGCGAGCCCC